rnacentral:rRNA from 1 species
GUCCACGCUGUAACGAUGUGUGCUGGAUGUUGGUGACAUAGUCACUCAGUGUCGUAGCUAACGCGAUAAGCACACCGCCUGGGAGUACGGCCGCAAGGUUGAACUCAAGGAUUGACGGGGCCGCACAAGCGGUGGAGCAUGUGGUUUAAUUCGAAGCAACGCGCAGAACCUUACCAGGGCUUGACAUGGGUAGGCCGUAUCCAGAGAUGGGUAUUCCCGCAAGGGCCUACCGCACAGGUGCUGCAUGGCUGUCGU